rnacentral:rRNA from 1 species
CAGCAGCCACGGUAAUACGAAGGGGGCUAGCGUUGUUCGGAUUAACUGGGCGUAAAGGGCGCGUAGGCGGGUUUUUAAGUCAGAGGUGAAAUCCCAAGGCUCAACCUUGGAACUGCCUUUGAUACUGGAAGUCUUGAGUCCGGGAGAGGUGAGUGGAACUGCGAGUGUAGAGGUGAAAUUCGUAGAUAUUCGCAAGAACACCAGUGGCGAAGGCGGCUCACUGGCCCGGUACUGACGCUGAGGCGCGAAAGCGUGGGGAGCAAACAGGAUUAGAUACCCGCGUAGUCCCUGUCUCUUAUAA